AUUGAACGCUGGCGGCAGGCCUAACACAUGCAAGUCGAACGAGUGGCGGACGGGUGAGUAAUGUCUGGGCAACUGCCUGAUGGAGGGGGAUAACUACUGGAAACGGUAGCUAAUACCGCAUACCAUCAGAUGUGCCCAGAUGGGAUUAGCUUGUUGGUGGGGUAACGGCUCACCAAGGCGACGAUCCCUAGCUGGUCUGAGAGGAUGACCAGCAAGACGGGAAGUGAGACAGGGUCCAGACUCCUACGGGAGGCAGCAGUGGGGAAUAUGGCACAAUGGGCGCAAGCCUGAUGCAGCCAUGCCGGGUGUAUGAAGAAGGCCGUCGGGUUGAAAAGUAAUUUCAGCGGGGAGGCGUUACCAGAAGAAGAAGCACCGGCUAACUCCGUGCCAGCAGCCGCGGUAAUAC
rnacentral:rRNA from 1 species